GAUGAACGCUGGCGGCGUGCUUAACACAUGCAAGUCGAACGGAGAGGCCCUGCUUUUGUGGGGUGCUCGAGUGGCGAACGGGUGAGUAACACGUGAGUAACCUGCCCUUGACUUUGGGAUAACUUCAGGAAACUGGGGCUAAUACCGGAUAGGAGCUCCUGCUGCAUGGUGGGGGUUGGAAAGUUUCGGCGGUUGGGGAUGGACUCGCGGCUUAUCAGCUUGUUGGUGGGGUAGUGGCUUACCAAGGCUUUGACGGGUAGCCGGCCUGAGGGGGUGACCGGCCCAAAUGGGACCGGGAUACGGGCCCGAAUCCUAAGGGAGGGCGGCGUGGGGAAUAUUGCCUAAAUGGCGGAAGCCUGAUGCAGCAACGCCGCGUGCGGGAUGACGGCCUUCGGGUUGUAAACCGCUUUCGCCUGUGACGAAGCGUGAGUGACGGUAAUGGGUAAAGAAGCACCGGCUAACUACGUG
rnacentral:rRNA from 1 species